rnacentral:rRNA from 1 species
UACGUAGGGGGCAAGCGUUGUCCGGAAUUAUUGGGCGUAAAGAGCGUGUAGGCGGUCCGGUAAGUCAGCUGUGAAAGUCAAGGGCUCAACCCUUGAAAGCCGGUUGAUAGUGUCGGGCUAGAGUCCGGAAGAGGCGAGUGGAAUUCCCGGUGUAGCGGUGAAAUGCGCAGAUAUCGGGAGGAACACCAAUGGCGAAGGCAGCUCGCUGGGACGGUACUGACGCUGAGACGCGAAAGCGUGGGGAGCAAACAGG